UCUACUCACUACCACGUAAGUGUAAUGUUGUUUGGAACUGUAGAAAAGGUAUAAAAAUAGCGUUUUGUAGCGGUGAAAUGACUUGCCCUGGUCACUUCCAGGCUAACGAGUUUUGAC